rnacentral:rRNA from 1 species
UCCGGCGGGUGCGAGCGUUGUCCGGAAUCACUGUGCGUAAAGGGCGCGUAGGCGGCGCGGAUAGUCGGCGGUGAAAGCCCGGAGCUCAACUCCGGGUCGGCCGUCGAUACUUCCGGGCUUGAGCACUGUAGAGGCAGAUGGAAUUCCGGGUGUAGCGGUGGAAUGCGUAGAGAUCCGGAAGAACACCGGGGGCGAAGGCGGUCUGCUGGGCAGUUGCUGACGCUGAUGCGCGACAGCGUGGGGAGCAAACAGG